rnacentral:sRNA from 1 species
AAACAAUUUUAUUUAAAUCACACACAUAUCGCACGGGUAAAUCGGGGUGCCAAACGGUCGAUUUGCUUGGUAUGUGGAGGCAAAAC